AUCACUGUCUUUGGCCUUUUGGCUAAGAGCAAGGUAGUAUCUGUCCUAAACAGUUUAAGGUCUGAUGGAUUCUGUAUGUGAGACAAUAUACAUACUAAAUGGAUUUUGGAGCAAGGAGGUAGAACGGGAGCUUACUCUGUCCUCUUUACACAUCAGCCUGGUGUUGCAGUACCUCUAGGAAUGGUGCUCUCCUC
ensembl:snRNA U2 U2 spliceosomal RNA